rnacentral:rRNA from 1 species
GUGGGGAAUCUUGCGCAAUGGGCGAAAGCCUGACGCAGCCAUGCCGCGUGAAUGAUGAAGGUCUUAGGAUUGUAAAAUUCUUUCACCGGGGACGAUAAUGACGGUACCCGGAGAAGAAGCUCCGGCUAACUUCGUGCCAGCAGCCGCGGUAAUACGAAGGGGGCUAGCGUUGCUCGGAAUUACUGGGCGUAAAGGGCGCGUAGGCGGACAGCUUAGUCAGAGGUGAAAGCCCAGGGCUCAACCUUGGAAUUGCCUUUGAUACUGGCUGUCUUGAGUUUGGGAGAGGUGAGUGGAACUCCGAGUGUAGAGGUGAAAUUCGUAGAUAUUCGGAAGAACACCAGUGGCGAAGGCGACACACUGGCUCAUUACUGACGCUGAGGCGCGAAAGCGUGGGGAGCAAACAGGAUUAGAUACCCGGGUAGUCC